AUAAAAUUUCCUGUGGAGGAUGAGGAGUGUGAUCCCCAUAUAGUUGGAACAGACUGUCUUAUCCCCCUUCUGGAAGAUUGGAAGCACAACCCAGGUCUGCCAGUCUAGUGGUAUGGCCCCUGAUCUCCCCACAACAUUGUAGAGACGUGUCAACCAAGACAGUCCUACAAUAUCCAUAGCCUUACAGAACUCAAGGCGAACCUCAUCCACUCCAGGGGCCCUGCCACCAAGGAGUUGUUUAACUGCUUCAGUGAACUCUCCCCUGGUUAAGCAUUAGAUGCCCCACUUGUCGCCAGACUCUGCUCCUGCUACAGAAGACAUGUCAGUGAGAGAAAGGAGGUCCUGUUUCCUUUUGCCGCCUGACAAUAUCCUCAGUUGAAAUCAGCAGCACUCCACCAGCACUUUACACAGUGUCGGUAAAGAACCCCUUUCCUCUCCUGAGCUGCCUGGUAGUGUUCCAGAAUUGCUCCAAUGAGAUCUGAGUCUUUUUUCAUGGCCUCAUUAAAUUCCUCUCACACACAAGUUUUUACUAGACUCUCCAGAAGACUGGUCCUAGAGCCAAAGACACACCUUCAGGUGAGCCUGACUAUAUCUAGGCAGUACCUCUCAACCUCCCACACUAGCUGAAACUUCUUCUCCACCAGAAAGGUGACAUUCCAUGUCUCCAUCACCAGCUUUAGUAUUGGGCAUCAGUCUCCCAGGGUCUCCAUCCUUGGUCGCCACUGGCACACACUGUACCCAACCCCUACGGUGCCUCCCAUCUCCCUUGUUCAAGCAUUGGGGCCAUAGUAACCCUUUCUCAGGCCGGGUAAACUGUUCCCUCGAUGUUGGACCCAUGGAAAUGUAAAUGAACUCAAGUUAUCAAAGUAGAACAUACUGUGGUUUUGUUUUUCUGUGUUUUUAUCUGAUUUUAUAAGACAAAAAAUUGAAAGUUGGCUUUAUUUAUCACAAGGUAUAAACAUAGCUUGGUAAAUUUUUUACUGCCUUACCGUGUCACUCAGCUUCAGCAAAUGUGUGGAAGUGGCAUAUGCAGCUGCUGCCCAACUGGACAAAAAUAAUGGAAGAGUGGUUUUCAGAAUCCUCUACUAGCUGCUGUUAAUAACGCAUGAAUAGAAGUGUCUUGUAAAAAGAUAUUUCAUUUAGGAAAAAUACAUUAUAAAAAUAACAUUUUGUUCUAUCAGCACUGGAGAUGAGCACAUUUCAGGGAACUUUGGCCUGCUGGACCAGGUUGAAGCUCUCAAGUGGAUCCAGCAGCACAUUCACAACUUUGGAGGAGACCCAGGAUUAGUUACCAUAUUUGGAGAGUCUGCUGGUGGAGUGAGCGUGUCUCUUCUGCUCCUGUCACCACUGUCUGAUGGGCUGUUUCACCGUGCUAUUGCUGAGAGCGGCACAGCUGCAAUGAAUGUAUUUGUUGCAAAUAAUCCUCUACCAAUGGCGCAGGCAAUUGCAAACGCAUCUGGCUGCAGUCU